AGAGUUUGAUCAUGGCUCAGAAUCAACGCUGGCGGCGUGCCUCAGACAUGCAAGUCGAACGAUUAAACUUCCCUUCGGGGAAGAUAUAAAGUGGCGCACGGGUGAGUAACACGUAGGUAAUGUACCUUUGGGUGGGGAAUAACUUAGGGAAACUUAAGCUAAUACCGCAUAAUGCAGCGGCUCCUUCGGGAGACAGUUGUUAAAGAUUUAUCGCCUAAAGAGCAGCCUGCGGCAGAUUAGCUAGUUGGUAAGGUAACGGCUUACCAAGGCUACGAUCUGUAUCCGACCUGAGAGGGUGGUCGGACACACUGACACUGAAUAACGGGUCAGACUCCUACGGGAGGCAGCAGUCGGGAAUUUUGGGCAAUGGGCGAAAGCCUGACCCAGCAACGCCGCGUGAAGGAUGAAGUCUUUCGGGAUGUAAACUUCGUAAGAAUAGGAAGAAUAAAUGACGGUACUAUUUGUAAGGUCCGGCUAACUACGUGCCAGCAGCCGCGGUAAUACGUAGGGACCAAGCGUUGUUCGGAUUUACUGGGCGUAAAGGGCGCGUAGGCGGCGUGUCAAGUCAAUUGUGAAAUCUCCGGGCUUAACUCGGAACGGUCAAUUGAUACUGAUGUGCUAGAGUACAGAAGGGGCAAUCGGAAUUCUUGGUGUAGCGGUGGAAUGCGUAGAUAUCAAGAGGAACACCUGAGGUGAAGACGGGUUGCUGGGCUGAUACUGACGCUGANGCGCGAAAGCUAGGGUAGCAAACGGGAUUAGAUACCCCGGUAGUCCUAGCCCUAAACGAUGAAUACUUGGUGUCUGGAGUUUUAAUUCUCCGGGUGCCGUCGCUAACGUUUUUAGUAUUCCGCCUGGGGAGUACGCACGCAAGUGUGAAACUCAAAUGAAUUGACGGGG
rnacentral:rRNA from 1 species